AAGAAUUUAGGAACGGAGGGAGUACUUACAAUAAUGUUAGGUCUGUAAUGAUUAGUUAGUCAAUGUUUGAUGUAGGAAAAAAAUUGAUGUAAGGGCAUCAUAUAUUUUCUAAAACUAGAAGUCCAAUAUGAUGUGCUCUUAUCUUGUCCACAACUCAAACAUGGAUGUACUCUUGAAUUAACUUAGCCUACCCCAUGAUUUAAAAUUUCAAAAAAAAAAAUCGUUACCCC
rnacentral:lncRNA from 1 species